rnacentral:rRNA from 1 species
CGCUAGCGGGAGGCUUAACACAUGCAAGUCGAGGGGCAGCACGAGGUAGCAAUACUUUGGUGGCGACCGGCGCACGGGUGAGUAACGCGUAUGCAACCUACCCUGUACAGGGGGAUAGCCCGGAGAAAUUCGGAUUAAUACCCCAUAAAGAUAUUUAGAGGCAUCUUUAAAUAUUUAAAGUUUCGACGGUACGGGAUGGGCAUGCGUGACAUUAGCUAGUUGGUAGGGUAACGGCCUACCAAGGCUUCGAUGUCUAGGGGUCCUGAGAGGGUGAUCCCCCACACUGGUACUGAGACACGGACCAGACUCCUACGGGAGGCAGCAGUGAGGAAUAUUGGUCAAUGGGCGUAAGCCUGAACCAGCCAUCCCGCGUGAAGGAAGAAGGCGCUAUGCGUCGUAAACUUCUUUUCCGGAGGAAUAAAAUUUCGUACGUGUACGGAACUGAAGGUACUCUGGGAAUAAGCAUCGGCUAACUCCGUGCCAGCAGCCGCGGUAAUACGGAGGAUGCGAGCGUUAUCCGGAUUUAUUGGGUUUAAAGGGUGCGUAGGCGGAUUAAUAAGUCAGUGGUGAAAACCUUCAGCUUAACUGGAGAACUGCCAUUGAUACUGUUAGUCUUGAGUACGGUCAAGGUAGGCGGAAUGUGUAAUGUAGCGGUGAAAUGCUUAGAUAUUACACAGAACACCGAUUGCGAAGGCAGCUUACUGGGCCAUUACUGACGCUGAUGCACGAAAGCGUGGGGAGCGAACAGGAUUAGAUACCCUGGUAGUCCACGCCGUAAACGAUGAUCACUCGCUGUUGGCGAUACACAGUCAG